rnacentral:rRNA from 1 species
UUAAGUUAACAAGGGCGCAUGGUGAAUGCCUUGGCACUAGGAGCCGAUGAAGGACGGGACUAACACCGAUAUGCUUCGGGGAGCUGUACGUAAGCUAUGAUCCGGAGAUUUCCGAAUGGGGCAACCCAGCAGUUUUAAUCGACUGUUACCACUAGAUGAAUUCAUAGUCUAGUUGGAGGUAAACGCUGUGAACUGAAACAUCUCAUUAGCAGCAGGAAUAUAAAGAAAUUUCGAUUCCCUAAGUAGCGGCGAGCGAACGGGGAACAGCCCAAACCAAAGUGCUUGCACUUUGGGGUUGUAGGACUGAACAUUUGAGUUACCAAAGAACUUGAUAGUCGAAGGAUUUGGGAAAAUCCGCCAUAGAUGGUGAUAGCCCAGUAGAUUAAAUCAAAUUCUCUCAGUUCAGGAUCCUGAGUACGGCGGAACACGUGAAAUUCCGUCGGAAUCCGGGAGGACCAUCUCCCAAGGCUAAAUACUACCUAGUGACCGAUAGUGAACCAGUACCGUGAGGGAAAGGUGAAAAGCACCCCGGGAGGGGAGUGAAAUAGUUCCUGAAACCAUGUGCCUACAAUAAGUCAGAGCGCGUUAAUGCGUGAUGGCGUGCCUUUUGUAGAAUGAACCGGCGAGUUAUGAUCCCGUGCAAGGUUAAGACUAAAAAGUCGGAGCCGUAGCGAAAGCGAGUCUGAAAUGGGCGUUUUGAGUACGAGGUUAUAGACCCGAAACCAGGUGACCUAUCCAUGUCCAGGUUGAAGGUGCGGUAAAACGCACUGGAGGACCGAACCCGUGUAAGUUGAAAAUUGCUGGGAUGAGGUGUGGAUAGCGGUGAAAUUCCAAACGAACUUGGAGAUAGCUGGUUCUCUCCGAAAUAGCUUUAGGGCUAGCCUCGGAAUUAGGAUCAUGGAGGUAGAGCACUAUUUGGACUAGGGGCCCGUCUUGGGUUACUGAAUUCAGAUAAACUCCGAAUGCCAUUGAUUCAUAUCCGGGAGUCAGACGAUGAGUGAUAAGAUCCACCGUCGAAAGGGGAACAGCCCAGACCAUCAGUUAAGGUCCCUAAAUGUAUGCUAAGUGGAAAAGGAUGUGGAGUUGCAUAGACAACUAGGAUGUUGGCUCAGAAGCAGCCACCAUUUAAAGAGUGCGUAAUAGCUCACUAGUCGAGUGAUCCUGCGCCGAAAAUGUACCGGGGCUAAGCAUACUACCGAAACCAUGGAUGCGACCAUUAGGUCGCGUGAUAGGAGAGCGUUCUAAGGGCGGUGAAGCAAGAUCGUGAGGACUUGUGGAGCGCUUAGAAGUGAGAAUGCCGGUAUGAGUAGCGAAAGAUAGGUGAGAAUCCUAUCCACCGAAUGACUAAGGUUUCCUGGGGAAGGCUCGUCCUCCCAGGGUUAGUCGGGACCUAAGUCGAGGCCGAGAGGCGUAGACGAUGGAUAACAGGUUGAGAUUCCUGUACUAGUUAAGUGCGUUUGAGCAAUGGAGGGACGCAGGAGGCUAAGAUGUGCAUUCUGUUGGAUUAGAAUGUCCAAGCAGUAAGUCUUGUGAAGAGUCAAAUGCUUUUCACUUUAAGGACAAGCUGUGAUGGGGAGCGAAAUUUAGUAGCGAAGCGUCUGAUGUCACACUGCCGAGAAAAGCUUCUAGUGAGUACUUAACUACCCGUACCGCAAACCGACACAGGUAGUCGAGGAGAGAAUCCUAAGGUGAGCGAGUGAACUCUCGUUAAGGAACUCGGCAAAAUGACCCCGUAACUUCGGGAGAAGGGGUGCUGAUCGCAAGAUCAGCCGCAGUGAAUAGGCCCAGGCGACUGUUUAUCAAAAACACAGGUCUCUGCAAAAUCGUAAGAUGACGUAUAGGGGCUGACGCCUGCCCGGUGCUGGAAGGUUAAAAGGAUGGGUUAGCUUCGGCGAAGCUCAGAAUUGAAGCCCCAGUAAACGGCGGCCGUAACUAUAACGGUCCUAAGGUAGCGAAAUUCCUUGUCGGGUAAGUUCCGACCCGCACGAAAGGCGUAACGAUCUGGGCACUGUCUCAACGAGAGACUCGGUGAAAUUAUAUUGUCCGUGAAGAUGCGGACUACCCGCGACAGGACGGAAAGACCCCAUGGAGCUUUACUGUAGCUUGAUAUUGAGUGUUUGUACAGCUUGUACAGGAUAGGUAGGAGCCAUAGAAACCGGAACGCUAGUUUCGGUGGAGGCGUUGGUGGGAUACUACCCUCGCUGUAUGACCACUCUAACCCGCACCACUAAUCGUGGUGGGAGACAGUGUCAGGUGGGCAGUUUGACUGGGGCGGUCGCCUCCUAAAAAGUAACGGAGGCGCCCAAAGGUUCCCUCAGAAUGGUUGGAAAUCAUUCGCAGAGUGUAAAGGCACAAGGGAGCUUGACUGCGAGACAGACAGGUCGAGCAGGGACGAAAGUCGGGCUUAGUGAUCCGGUGGUACCGUAUGGAAGGGCCAUCGCUCAACGGAUAAAAGCUACCCUGGGGAUAACAGGCUUAUCUCCCCCAAGAGUCCACAUCGACGGGGAGGUUUGGCACCUCGAUGUCGGCUCAUCGCAUCCUGGGGCUGUAGUCGGUCCCAAGGGUUGGGCUGUUCGCCCAUUAAAGCGGUACGCGAGCUGGGUUCAGAACGUCGUGAGACAGUUCGGUCCCUAUCCGUCGCGGGCGUAGGAAAUUUGAGAGGACCUGUCCUUAGUACGAGAGGACCGGGAUGGACAUACCUCUGGUGUACCAGUUGUGCCGCCAGGCGCAUCGCUGGGUAGCUACGUAUGGAUGUGAUAAACGCUGAAAGCAUCUAAGUGUGAAACACACCUCGAGAUGAGAUUUCCCAUUCCUUUAUGGAAGUAAGACCCCUGAAAGAUGAUCAGGUAGAUAGGUUAGAAGUGGCAGUGCGGUGACGCAUGAAGCGGACUAAUACUAAUCGGUCGAGGACUUAACCAA